rnacentral:misc_RNA from 1 species
GAAUGAAUCAAAUCCAAAGUCAAAUUUGUUGCUUCAUUCAGCAGAUACAUAAUACCAAAAGAAAAAUGCUAAGCCCAAAAAAUAGAAUGAAAAAGAAACUAAACUAAAUAAAACGUAUGAGUUUUAUUGACACCAUAGAAUGAAGUUUAUCCAGAAAACGUCGCAAUCAUGUUCUGUCAUGAUACAACACACAACACCCACCAAAAAGGUCACCUGAUAGAUUAUCAGCCAUUUUGAAGUACGGAAAAAUUAGAGCGGUGAUCAAAAGAGAAAACAGGGACAGAAAAGAUUUAAGUGGCAUUUCUUUAGCAUUUUUUAGACAUGGUUUCUUCUUUAAGAGCCAAAACGACAUCAAUGCAAAGUACUUCGGGUGUAACCCCCACGUUGCUGACUCGGUUCAAAUCACUGGAUUCUCUCGGUGCUCGAGUUAUGGUGGGUUACGAUUAGGAGCAGCACCUCAGGUACCGGGGAUUAAUCUGCGCCUUCGAGUCAGGUGGGGUUGUCUAAUAAAUACAUGGGCAUGUCGUAGAGACGGAUGUCAACUGCGUUUUAUGCAUAUUUUCUCCCUUUCAAAAGUGAGUUUGAUUUUUCUUUUCCUUUUUUCAUUCUUUUUCGUUCUGUAAUU